GACGAACGCUGGCGGCGUGCUUAACACAUGCAAGUCGGACGGUUCGCACUGGAAGGUUCGCUGGAAGGUGCGGAUAGUGGCGGACGGGUGAGUAACGCGUGAGGACAUGGCACCAGGAGGGGGAUAACGUUUGGAAACGGACGCUAAGACCCCGUAAGCCGGGAGGUGAAAGUGGCGGAAGCCAGCCUGGUGAGUGACUCGCGUCCUAUCAGCUAGUUGGGGGGGUACGGCCCACCAAGGCGAUGACGGGUAGCCGACCUGAGAGGGUGGCCGGCCACACUGGAACUGAGAUACGGUCCAGACUCCUACGGGAGCAGCAGUGGGGAAUAUUGGGCAAUGGGCGCAAGCCUGACCCAGCGACGCCGCGUGGGGGAAAAGUCUUUCGGGACGUAAACCCAUGUUGUACGGGACGAAGGAAGUGACGGUACCGUACGAGGAAGCCCGGCAAACUACGUG
rnacentral:rRNA from 1 species